UACGAAGGGGGCGAGCGUUGUUCGGAAUUACUGGGCGUAAAGGGCGCGCAGGCGGCCGAUCAAGUCAGGCGUGAAAGCCCCGGGCUUAACCUGGGAAUUGCGCUUGGGACUGAUGGGCUUGAGUUCGGGAGAGGAGAGUGGAAUUCCCAGUGUAGAGGUGAAAUUCGUAGAUAUUGGGAAGAACACCGGUGGCGAAGGCGGCUCUCUGGACCGAUACUGACGCUGAGGCGCGAAAGCGUGGGGAG
rnacentral:rRNA from 1 species